rnacentral:snRNA from 1 species
GUGCUCGCUUCAGCAGAACAUAUACUAAAACUGGAACGACACAGAAAAGAUUAGCAUGGCCCCUGCACAAGGAUGACAUGCAAAUUCAUGAAGCAAUCCAUAUUUUU